rnacentral:tRNA from 1 species
ACAUUGGUGAUUCAGUGGUAGAAUUUCCACCUUCCAUGUGGGAGACCCAGGUUUGAUUCCAAGCCAGUGCA